CUUUAUCUUCCUUCUUCAGAUCUGCAAUCCAGUCUCUCUCUUAGUCUUUUCUCUGCAUAGACAAUUGAAGCUACUUUUACGAAGAACCAUAGAUUUAGCUAGAGUGGAAAUGAAGAUAUUCAUAAUACUCAUCAGUGUUGUUGUUUUGGCUAGAGGAAAGCUGGAGGAGGGUGGUGUAGUGAUUUUGCUGAUUGCAAUGCUUAUAUCCAAAAUAAAGGAGUUGCCACGGACCCUACACCAAUAAGAUUUGAUGAUAUCUUCAACAAUGAAAUUAAAAAAGAAAAAUUCAGAGAAAGGCUGUGAGAGAGAGACUGUGGAUUGCGGAUGUGAAAGCGAGGUGUUAAGAGCUACAAUAAACGCCAGCGAAGAUGCAAAUUUAACAAAUAGUGUACGAAAAUAAUUAGCCAAAAUUAAUUGUAGUAAAUUCAAUGGGAAGAAGAGCAUUAAUUGUA